rnacentral:lncRNA from 1 species
CCUUAGGCUUAAGAAAAUGUGCUCCUCAAAUUUGCCACACUGAACCUCCUCAUCUGGACCAUGACUGAUUUCUCAUCAUGCCCAUUCUUCAGGGCCCUAGAUACCAUCCUCAGAAGGGCAGAUAUGAGAUAGAAACACUUCUUCCUUCUUCCCAGACUUACCAGUCUCCCAUGGUGUGAGUGCUUCCAAGAGAAGCAGUGAGAAGUAACCACUGAGAUAGAGGUAAAACCUCGAUAUAAACAUCUAAACACGUAAGUAAUGUUGGAAACAGAAUUAAAACACAAAGUUUCAAACCACGUUAAGUCUUAAAAAUUGAAAACAUUGGCAAAAUUGGAAUUCUUAAAAUCCAAUGUGACAUUUUAUAAUACGAAUACUUUUCUUUUAAAACUGAUAAAGGGAGUCAGUAACACACACGUCCCCCCCUUUUCCCCACCUCCUCCUGUAACUAGAACCUCACAGAUUUAUUAAACUCUACAUAACCUUUUCCUCC